CGCAGAGCACACCGAGAGCGCUGCUGCUGCUGCACACUGUGCACGUUUCGAGCCACAGUCGAAUCAGGAGUCGCCGCCGCCGCCGUUCUGCAGCGGCCACAAGCCAAGGGACGUUUCCGGAGAGAACUCUCUCUCUCUUAAGGGAAAGAAAGCUGGAUCCCAUCUCCCUCUGGAGCUCAAACGCCCGGCGACCUUUCCCUCUACGCCCUCCUCGCACCAGCGGGCUCCCUCUUUUCAGCCGCGCUGCCUCCCAGGGCAGGGAGAAGCCGUUACGUGCCCCCGCGCGGUCUUGGAACUAGGCGGGCGUGCUUCGGGAAGGAGGAGGAGUAGGGCGCCUCCGGGUGGCGAGCCACCUACUCCAGCCGUUUGAGUUAAAUUGGCCGGCAGAAGGGAUCCUCCUCCGGCAGUCAGCGGCAAGAGGUAGCAGGGAGAAUUUAGUAAAUCAGCCGGGCUGAGUCGCAAGCGGUGGUCGGUCCGCCAGCGCCAGCCAGACCCCUUUUCUCCCCCUGGCUGGCUGGCUCCGACUAGCCACUAAACGGCCUCUGCAGCCUUUCGACGAUUGGUCGGUCAAUAUGCCAGAGGAUGUGGUGGUGAACCGUGAGGAAAACACAUUAUCUGGAAAUAUGAGCAAUAAGGUUAUGCCCAUGCAGAACACUACUAAGGUAUAUGUUGUUAAGAUCUUAUAGAACUCUCUUGAUGGUGUGCAGGGAGAAUUGGCAAACUUUCAGAAGUGCCAAGUGCGGGAUGGGAACUCAAGGCAUGCCCCCUUCUGAAGCAUGCGUGCACAAGGCCGGGGGGGUCAAUUGCAGCAGUGGCUUCAGCUUCUGCCAUGGGAAGGGUCUCUGUCCUUUGCUGCUGCCUCCUGUGCUGCCUCCGCUAACACCUCCUCGGUCUACCCCUCUGCCGCGACUGCAGUGCACUCUAACUCCCCGAUAGCAGCAACAGAACUGGUAGCAGCAUUGAAGCCCUGCUCUGCUCUGUUUUCCCUUCCUGCUUCCUGUUGACAAAAGGAAGGGAGGCUGUAUGGAGCAGAGCAGGAGGUCGAUGCUGCUGGCACUGCUGUUACUACUAUUGGAGAAUUAGACAGUGAUAGAGGCAAAAUGGAGAGCUCUCCACUUUUGGCACACAUGCCAUAGGUUGCUGACCCUGGAUUAGUAAUUUAAAGAAAAAAGAAAGCAGGUAUAGAGGACUGUGGUACAUUUGCUUAGGAUGAAGUUCCAUUGAACUACAUAGGAUUGGGCUAUAGAAGUAUGACAAAUAUCAUGAUGCUCCUUUUGCUCUCCCCACAUUUCAGCCACAUCAGACAAAUUGAGAUGAAUGUUUCAAUAUGGAGUUUGAAUUUAGAUUUUUUAAUUUGCCUUAUUCCAUACAGUUAAAUAUGUAUGGCAGUGUCAGUUUGUUUUGCCGUGUAAGUAUUGUUUUGCCAUAACGUGUUUAUACCUACAAAGAUUAGAAUCGUUCGGACAGCGGUUUUUCCCGCGACACUCUAUGGAUGCAAAAGCUGGACACUGAAAAAGCAAGAUAGAAAAAGCAUUGAUACUUUUGAACUUUGGUGCUGGAGAAGAUUUUUGAGGAUACCACGGACAGCCAGGAAAACAAACAAAUGAAUCAUAGAACAAAUCAAUCCAGAAUUUCCACUUGAGGCACAAAUGACCAGGCUCAAACUAUCAUACUUUGGACAUAUUAUGCAAAGACCCAGCUCCCUUGAGAGGUCCAUAAUGCUGGGGAAAGUUGAAGGAAAAAGAAGAGGAGGAUGACCAGCAGCAAGGAACCCAGUCCCUUAGAAUCCAAUGAUGCCGAUGGAAAGCAAUUUCAGGAACCUGUGGCUGAGUCAAAGAAACCAGGGAAACUAAGGCACCUAUGUGUUUGUCCCCCACAAGGCAUAAUUGCCAUAACAAUAACAAAUGUGGCAGCAGUAGCCGUGGUUUGGGCUGUGGUUUGGUCUGUUUCAGGCAAGGAGAGUCUUCCUGGUGGGAACCUCUUUGGACUUUUGUUCCUCUUCUUUUGUUCUUUAAUUGGUGGUAAUCUUAUGCUGCUAAUUAAAUUACCUGGUCUGCCUCCAUUCCCUCGCCUUCUUGGGAUGUUGCUUGCUGGAUUUCUCAUUAGAAACAUCCCAUUCACCAGUAAGAUAGUCCAAAUCAACGUGAAAUGGGCAGCUGCCCUGAGAAAUAUGGCCCUCGCCAUUAUCUUGGCCCUUGCUGGACUUGGCCUUGACCCAAAGGCUCUGAAUAAGUUAAAAGCUGUCUGCUUCAGAUUGAGCUUGGGGCCCUGCAUCAUUGAAUCCUGUGCGGCAGCUGUCCUAUCUCACUUUCUCUUGAAACUUCCAUGGGAAUGGGCGUUUAUGUUAGGAUUUGUUUUAGGUGCUGUGUCUCCUGCCAUUGUUGUUCUUUCAAUGCUAAGCUUAAAAGUGAGAGGAUAUGGUGUUGACAAAGGCAUCCCAACCUUGCUAAUAGCUGCUGCCAGUUUGGAUGAUAUCGUGGCCAUCACAGGCUUCAACACCUUCUUAGCCAUGGGCUUCUCCCAAGGCUCCACAAUGUACUCUCUCCUCCAAGGUCUGAUGGAAGUUGGACUUGGUAUAGCAGCUGGUGGCUUUCUAGGGAUUUUUAUUUGUUACUUUCCAAGUAAGGAUCAGGCAUUUCUUGUAUGGAAGAGAGCAUUCUUUGUAAUAGGUCUAUCUAUGGGUGCUGUUUUGGGCAGCAAAUAUUUUGGUUUCCCUGGAUCUGGGGGGCUAUGCACAGUUGUCUUGGCCUUUCUGGCUGGGAUGGCAUGGUCUGAAGAGAAGAGGGAGGUAGAAGAAAUUGUUACAAUGGCCUGGCAGGUUUUCCAACCCUUUCUUUUUGGUUUAAUUGGAGCUGAAGUAUCAAUUGUCACUGUUGGAGCUAGAACGGUUGGGCUCUGUCUGGGCACAGUGGGUUUGUCUUUAAUUAUACGCAUUACUGUCACAUUCCUGUUGGUGACUCACACUGGCUUUAAUUUCAAGGAGAAAGUAUUUGUUGCACUGGCAUGGAUCCCCAAAGCAACUGUCCAGGCUGCAGUUGGUUCUCUUGCCUUAGAUACUGCACGAAUCAUAAAAAAUAAAAAAUUUGAAGAAUAUGGCCUGGAUAUCUUGACAGUAGCUUUCAUGGCAAUCCUCACCACAGCUCCAACUGGAGCUCUGAUAAUAGGCCUGGCGGGACCCAAACUUCUCCAUCAGACCGAUAAAGGCAGUGAACAAGAGAAUGGAAAACAAAUUAAAAUACACUCGCCAAUAUAGAGAAGUAUAAGUGAAUGGCCAAAGACAGCCUAGUAUUUAUUCCAGGCUGUCUAUGAAUCAUUGUGUCCUGUACUAGUCUGAAGAAGCCUGACGGUCUAUAGAUUGCAUUGGCGAUACUGCUAAAACAGCAGCCCAAAUACUGAUCGAAAAAUAUUAUUAUAUGAAACCAGCAUCAAGGAUUUCUCUCCAUCUGUGGCUUAGAGGUUUUGGAGGAAAGCAUUCACAAGCAAGAUUUGUAAUUUGGUCACUGGAAUAUAUCAGUGGUCUGAUUUGGAAAUACGAGUGCUAACAGGAAAGGAGGAAGCAUUCCAGAUCGGGAGUUUACAAGGAGGUCUUGAAGCAAGAAGAAAGGCAAGACCAGUACUAGAUAAACAACUAAGAAGGUGAUCAUGGAUUUUGGAACAGAUAUGAAAAUCAACUUCCUGAUUUUCAGUAGAUACGGAUAGUAUAUGCCCAGUCUUUGGAACUACCAUAAACUGUGUGAAGAGACUGAUGCUUUGUUUCCCUUCUUGCGUCUUUAAAACAAAAAUACCCCCCAAAACCCAGGCAAGUGCUGUAAUGGUGGAAUAAAUAUAGAUCUCAUACAUGGAGCUGACAAAGCUCAAAACUGAUCUUCUAAUCCUGUGUAUCAGAUAUGCAUUGAAAUGUGACAUUGCAAAUUUGUCUUAUUCCCAAUUUCCUACAUACAUUAUACAAACACAAACAGUGAAAGUUGCAUUGAAGCCAUCUGCAACAAUAUAUCUCACCUUUAUAAUGGUAUCUUUGAUCCCAAAGGACUAAUGAUUGAUCCCGAUCAUAGUGAAGAACUGAUGUUUUAGUUUCUUAAGUUUGUAGGUGCAGACAUGAGAAAAAUGAGGGCAAGGGAAACUUCUGUGUCUCAAGCAACACAUCUUAGUAAAACUCCAGUCAAGAGCCACACUUAGACCUUAUAAUUCUGCCUUCUUCACCACAGUUGUGAUAAAGUGCUGUUUUAAGAAUUUGUAGUUUCAUAUCUGCAAAAAAUAUUUUCCAUACUCCAAAGCUGAGCAUUUAAUGGAUAAAAGAAAAGUGGUAUCAGGCAUUGUAUAGAAACAAAUUCACAUUUUCUAUGCUUUCCCAGCCCACUGUGCCCCAGUAGAUAUGAAAUCUGCUGUUUAAUGGCAAGUAGUUGCCAUUCCCCUCAGAACCAUUAGAAAUUGUAGCUAUUAGAACAUUUCCCUCAUCCCUGCUCUUUAAUUCUUUUCCCCUAAUAGCAAUACCUGCUAAUGUUGCUGUCAUAGGUGCGACACAGAUCUACUUAGAUACCAGCUCUUAAGGAAUACAGAGAACAAAUGCUAAAAAUGUGCAUUUUGUAUUCUUUUCAGAAAUAUUUCACCAGGGGGAGCAAAAGGCUCAGAUAUAGUUUAUUUUCCUCCAUUUUGGUUACAAUGGAUGUAUUAGUCUUUCCAGACCUAGUCUUUAUUCAGACCACAUUUCCACAAUUCUUUAAGGAUGCUCUUGUAGAUUCUUUUUCUCUUAAGUGGAGACAGACCUUUAGAAACCAUCUUCAUACAUCAAGGCCAAAAUCAACCUUCCUGCAACUUCAACCCUCCUGAGGUGUGAAAGUGCAAUAGAAUCCGACUGCUGUCUCCUGCUGAGGGUUCAGUUGUCAGUCAACAGAAGUGCACCAUGUUACUGCAGCAGGCUGUGCUAGCUCAGUCCUUGAACUACCUCCCAGGAAUAUCUCCAAACAUUUGUAGGCAUCCUAAGAAUUGUCAUGCUGGGCCAUACCAAAACCCUUUCAUCUCAUCUCUGACUACAGCCAGCCAGAAUCUCUGCAGAUGUUGAGAACAGAAUGUCAGUGCAAUAAAUCCUGCUCCUGGCCUUUCACUUUUAACCUCCACUAGAAGCACAGCAAAAAUCAGACACAAGUGUUAACCUAGCCAGAUGACUAGAGUGCUUUAGUUUACACAGUUGACUGCAAACCACAAACCUCUUAAAGGCCUCAAAGUGUCUAGCAGAAAUACAAACACAAGUAAAAGACAACUUGC